GGGGAUGAACUGCUUUGACGGGAUACGCUCAUUAAUAUCUGCAGAUCGUCUUUGACUAACAGACGCAAAACAGAGUCAAAAACAUAAUUGCAAAUAAUACUGCAAAAAGCAUUCUCCUGAACACUAAGAAAGCAAUCGCUGACUUAGCUCCUUCAAUGAGCUUUGCUCCUUCUUUCAUAGCUGCUUAAGCUUAGAAAAAGGCAUGUACUCUUUUCAUCUCACUGGUGUGAGGGAGUAUGUGAUCAACCCAGCUAGUGUGACAGGUAGUUCUCGUUCGUCGGAACUAUUCUAAGACUUUUAGACGGAGAUUGUAGUAUGAAGGCUUGUCUAUUUUCCCUCUACUGCAUUAACAAGGAUAGACUAAAUCUGUAGAUGAUAUUCAUGCUGCUAUUUCGGACGCGAGGUCACUCUUCGCCAUCUCCACAA
rnacentral:tmRNA from 4 species